rnacentral:lncRNA from 1 species
AAUCAGCAGUUUAGGAUAGUGACGUCGCCCGGGGCGCCGGCGCCGGUUCGGGAGUAAAGAUGGAGCGGGAGUCACGGAGGCGCAUCCAUGAACUCCGCUUCUUUGGAUUUCGGGGCCCAGCUGUUCUCUCUCCCCGGAGCCUGGGCUGCCGGAAUCUUACUGAGCUGCAGGAGCGCUCUGUCUCUGUCUCUCCUUUUCCUCUCUCCCUGCCCUCCCAUCUCUUCUUCUCUCUGUCUUUCUCCUCUCUUUCCUUUUCUCUCCCCUUCCCUCUUCCUCUCUCCAUCUCUGUGUGUGUGUGUCCCCCCCGCCCCCGGCAUUAACCGAUAUCCCCAACCUCACCUGCUGUUUUGGAGACCAGCCUCUCCGAGCCCGGGCAGCUGGGAGUGUCCCCCCGCCAGGCCCUUCGGAGGAGCCCGGGUUGCCCGCUCUCGCUCCCCUCCCGCAGUGCAUUGUUAUGCAGCCCCCUUUGUUCCGAGUUCCAGCCCGUUUCUCUCCACCUCGGAACCGCUUUGGGGCUUGGCCUGCCUCUCGCCAGCUUAUCCUCUGCGCGGCUCUGAGUGUGGCGCCGGCCGUCAGUAUUCCCCGGAUGCCUAAAGAGUUAGUACGGGUAGAAAUUGCCCAGCACGUUAGGGGUGUGGACGCGGUGUGUAGGAAGUCUCCCUGCUUUCCACAGCCCCCGAGUUGGGAGAAAUGACAAUUUGCUUUUCUCCAAAGCAAAAAUGCACAUACUUUUAGAGGCUCGUAGACCUGGUGCCCACGAAGGUGCCGACCUUGGAUCAGAGCUCUGCCGGUGCCGCCCUGGAAUCCUAUCCAGAACAAGAUGGCUUUUUGAGAAGCAAUAAACAAAUUUUCUCUCAAUUUUCUAUAAUUUCCACAAACACUUUCAGCUUUGUAUGUUUGAAAUUCUGUGUGCUGUGGCAUG